rnacentral:rRNA from 1 species
GAUAGGUUAAGUUAAUAAGGGCGCAUGGUGGAUGCCUUGGCACUAGAAGGCGAUGAAGGACGUGACUAACUACGAUAUGCCUCGGUUAGCUGUAAGUAAGCUUACCCGGGGGUUUCCGAAUGGGGCAACCCGAUCUUAAUGAUCAUCAUCUUUUUGAAUUCAUAG